GAUGAACGCUGGCGGCGUGCCUAAUACAUGCAAGUCGAGCGAACAGAUGAGGAGCUUGCUCCUCUGACGUUAGCGGCGGACGGGUGAGUAACACGUGGAUAACCUACCUAUAAGACUGGGAUAACUUCGGGAAACCGGAGCUAAUACCGGAUAAUAUAUUGAACCGCAUGGUUCAAUAGUGAAAGACGGUUUUGCUGUCACUUAUAGAUGGAUCCGCGCCGCAUUAGCUAGUUGGUAAGGUAACGGCUUACCAAGGCAACGAUGCGUAGCCGACCUGAGAGGGUGAUCGGCCACACUGGAACUGAGACACGGUCCAGACUCCUACGGGAGGCAGCAGUAGGGAAUCUUCCGCAAGGGGCGAAAGCCUGACGGAGCAACGCCGCGUGAGUGAUGAAGGUCUUCGGAUCGUAAAACUCUGUUAUUAGGGAAGAACAAAUGUGUAAGUAACUAUGCACGUCUUGACGGUACCUAAGCAGAAAGCCACGGCUAACUACGUG
rnacentral:rRNA from 1 species